rnacentral:ncRNA from 1 species
GUGUUGUAUGAAAGGAGAGAAGGUUAGCACUCCCCUUGACAAGGAUGGAAGAGGCUCUCGGGCCUGACAACACGCAAAAGUCUGAUAUAUAU